GAUGAAGAACCAGCGAAAUGCGAUAAGUAGUGUGAAUUGCAGAAUUCAGUGAAUCAUCGAAUCUUUGAACGCACAUUGCGCCUUCUAGUAUUCUGGGAGGCAUGCCUGUUUGAGCGUCAUUAAACCUCUCUCAAGUAUGAUUACUUGGAUGUGAAGGAAGAGUACCUUAAACUUAAGGAGUGUUCUCCUUUGAAAUUGAUUAGCAGAUGGUAAUGUUAUUAAAUCCCUGAUGUUGUAAGAAAUAACAGUGGUUUUGUAGACUAUUAUCUAGCUUUAAAUUAUAAUUUUUAUUAUGGUUGACCUCAAAUCAGGUAAGGAUACCCGCUGAACUUAAGCAUAUCAAUAAGCGGAGGA
rnacentral:misc_RNA from 1 species